rnacentral:rRNA from 1 species
GGAAGUAAAAGUCGUAACAAGGUUUCCGUAGGUGAACCUGCGGAAGGAUCAUUAGCGAACUCUCGAAGGAUGCGGUUGCUGCUGGGCUUCUCUCAGAAGUCAAUGUGCACACGGCUUCUCUUCCCGUUCACCCAUCUACCCCUAUCUGUGUACCCCUCGUAGGCUGAGAUAUCUCGGCCUAUGCUCCUCUCACAAAAGAAUCCCGAACUGUCAAUGAAUGUGGGUAGCCACUCGAGCCUGUCUCGAUGUAGCAGAAUGUACAACUUUCAACAACGGAUCUCUUGGCUCUCGCAUCGAUGAAGAACGCAGCGAAAUGCGAUAAGUAAUGUGAAUUGCAGAAUUCAGUGAAUCAUCGAAUCUUUGAACGCAUCUUGCGCCCCUUGGUACUCCGAGGGGCAUGCCUGUUUGAGUGUCAUCAGAUCAUCAACCCGAGAGGCUUUCGAGCUUCCUAAUCGGCGUUUUGGAGCUUGCGGCGUGCGGGGAAGCCCUCGCGGGCUCUCCCGCUCCUUGCAGAAACCAUCAGCGGCUGUCUACCUGCGGUCCGACCUUGGCGUGAUAAGUCGUCUACGUCCUGGCUUGGGUCGCGUUCCUUGACGCUGCUUCAAACAGUCCUGCGGACAGACCUUUGACUAUUGACCUCAAAUCAGGUAGGAUUACCCGCUGAACUUAAGCAUAUCAAUAAGCGGAGGAAAAGAAACUAACAAGGAUUCCCCUAGUAACUGCGAGUGAAGCGGGAAAAGCUCAAAUUUAAAAUCUGGCGGUCCCCCGCGGCCGU